ensembl:lncRNA
GACACGACCAGAAUGCAACAGUCUCUGUGACCAGGAUAAAUUGUGAUGGGAAUUUCCUGAAUAAAAUUAUGAAAUGCAGCUCCAGUGCGACACAUGGCCUUCGGGGUCCCUGGUGGCUCCUCCAACAUGGCGUACAUUGUCCUGUGUGGCGGAGGCGUCACUGCCGCAGUCGUCUAUGCCUACAAGACGGUCGGCGGCAACGGUGAGCGCCAUGAGGACCGACUCGCCACCAUGGCCGUCAUAGAAAAGGCACCGGAAGUUGCCGCUCCUGCAGCUGAACCCGCCGCAUUGGAGGAGGCAGCGCCGACCCCCGAGGUCCUGGCUGAGGUUGUUGAGGAGUCUGGCCCUGCUCCUGCCGAACCAGUAGCCGAGGCUGCUGCUGAACCCGACGUGCUUGCAGAGUCCAUCCCUGCAGAACCAGUAGCAGAGACCGCUCCCGAACCUGCCGUCGAGGCGGUGUCUGAAGAAGAAGCUGCAGCCGAGGUGGUCGUUGCAGAGCCGGCACCGACAGAAGAAGCCGCUCCAGCUGCCGUGGAAGAUGAGUCUGCUGCCACCGUGGAGGUUGCUGCCACCGAGGAGACGCCGGCAGAGGCCCCUGCAGCAGAAGCCCACUUGGCAGAAAGUGCUGGUAUGGCAGUAGUAGAUGGAGUCCCCCCUGCUCCCGCCGCUGAAGCAGAGAGCGGCUCUGCAGCCCCCGAGGCUGAGGCCGCACCUGCUGCAGUGGUGGCUGCAUGAAGCUGUGAUGGUGCCAUAGAUUCCCAGGAAGUAGGCCUCACUUAGUUGUGCUGUAGGCCCAAGAAAAAGGACUCCUGAAACCCUAUUUUGAUGAAAGUGAAAUGAUGAAAGUGGGUGAUUCACUUCUGGGGGUUUUUCCAGUCCAUUUUUUGGGCCCAACCUUCACACCCAGAUCCACAACAUUUAGCAUUAAGCAGUCUGUUCAAAUUCAGUUUCUAUAGGAAUUCUAUAAAUGGUGUAAAGCCACAUUCCAUUCUGGUGCUGUACAGUUGAAGAGCUGGUGACACAAGGGAUGGAAGUAAGUUGACCGUUUUUGUUCGUUGUGCCUUUUUAAAAACGUGGCCGCCUCUAUCUUUGCCUUUUUAUGUCAGCGCGGUGAACGAAUGUCGUUAGCCCAGUUUGAUAAGUUGUUUGGCACUUGCACUUGUUUGCUGCUCAGCAAAUGCUUACGCCCAGCAGUGCCAUUAAUCAUUGCUUUGCUUCAGCAAGAAGCGAGAGAUGGAACACAAAAUUGUUUGACCAAAAACCAGUUGGCUCUUACUGUCUGCAGUUCUUGACUUGUUUUUUUUUUUUCUCCACAUUGGAAUUCACCAGCCAUGUGGAAGACCUUUAUUGUGUAAAUCUUACUGCUGCUUUCUCUAAUCUCACUCAACUCUAUAGGCAUUAUAUUCUAUCAUAAUGCAGUUUUCAAAGAAUAAAAAAAAUCACUGGAUGUGACUCAAUAUUGCAUUUGUACUCUAUGAAUGUGGUCGUCUGUUUGCGUAAAUCUGAAAAGUGUAGGUUGUAAAAAUAAUUGGUUUGAUUUGACAAACAGUUUAAAUCUAGAUUCCUUUACCUGCCUGUGGCUUUGAUGGUAGAACAUAAUAUGCAAAUGAUAUUGUAUGUGUAGAAACACUUUUUUGUUGUUGUUUGGAAAUGUUAAAUUUCUUGUCCACGUUUAUGCUCCUUUCCGC